rnacentral:tRNA from 1 species
AGGUGUUUAGUCCAAAUUAAGACCGCUAAUUUCGGCUUAGCAAAUUAUGAUGAAAAAUCAUAAACAUCUU